ensembl:lincRNA
AAGCAAAGGCCAGACCUUUCUCUUAGACGUUCAGGGUUUGAAUGACCCAGGCCUGCAGAGUCAACUCUACUGCCUGUCCACACUUGUCUGUUUCUGUUCCUCACUUCUCCAGUGAGCGUGGAGUUCCACGGUCUCAGGUGGGUGACGCUAGGUAAGAGGUUUCCUGCGACUAACUAGCUGUGUGCCCUCUGGUGAAGAUCUAUGAGUUCUCAUCGCUUGGGUCUCCUCAUUGGCAGGUGAUAGUCAUCACACCCACUCUGAAUUUCCUGACAGGCAUUAGGAGAAUUGAAGACACCGUGGGUAAUGACGGAGCCUCGUGUACUGCUCACAGGUGCGGAAGCCAAACAGUCACUUUAGGGAGUUCUGGUUGUUUUUUCGGUUUGGUUUGGUUUUUAAGAGAUGAGGUCUCACUCUGUGGCCCAGGCUGGCAUGCAGUGGCACAGUCAUAGCUCAUGGCAACCUGGAACUUCUAGGUUCAAGCAAUCCUCCCACCUCAGCGUCCUGAGUAGCUGGGACUACAGACGCAUGCCACCACACUUGGCUAAUUUUAUUUAUUUAUUUUUGUAGAGACAGGGGCCUUGCUAUGUUGCCCAGGCUGGUCUCGAACUCCUGGCCUCAAGAGAUCCUACCCCAGCUUUCCGAGUGGAUUUUGUUUUUUAAUGGCUAUUUCCUUUUCCCCCUAACAUUUACAAAAUGCUUACAUAUGCCAGGCACUGUGUUUAGUGCUUACGUGGAUUCUCUCAUUUAAUCCUCAGGCAAUUCUCUAAGGAAAGUACUGUCAUGUCACCCCCGUCUGAGAGGACUGAGGCUCAGUGAGGUCCCAUGAGGUCACAGAGACAGCUUUUAAACUGUGUCAAGAUAGCCAGAGCUGGAACAGCAGAGCUACGCUGAUUGCUUGCUGGACAUGGAAGAGCAGCUUCUCUCACGCAAAGGUGUUUUCAGCAGGUUUCCCUUGGUUAAAGGAGAAAGGCUGGAUGCAGGAUAAAAAGAAAAACACUUUCCUCCAUGAAGUCUCUCUCUGUAUCCUACAGGUCCAAGAAACUAACUUGGGAAAGAAGAGGGGAAGUUCUUAUUUUCACAUGCUGAAUAAAUUACCAGAAAUAGAACUUGGCUCAGAACCUCACAUAUCUUCAGACCAAGAACAACUAUGCUGGAGAAGCUGUAUUUCCUUGACCAUCACUGAGGAGGCUCAUCUGCACGUGGAAUGAAUUAAGAUAUCAAUGUCCUAUUUUGACUGCAUGUUAUUCAGAAAUGAGACUUUGGGAAGUCUUAGCAGGGGGUCAAUGCAUUUUGUAUGUGUAGGGGAAUAUAAAUAAUUUUGGGUCAGUGGGCAGAGGGGUUUUUAAUAAUUAUUUGACACCCCUCCCUUCUGUGGAGCUAAUUCCCCUCCCCUUGAGUGAGUCACCUGGUGACUCAUUACUAAUGAAUAGAAUGUGGCAUAAAUGACAGAGCAUGACUCUUUUCUUUUCUUUUUUUUUUUUUUUUUUUUUGAGACAGGGUCUCACUCUGUGGCCCAGACUGGAGUGCCAUGGUGUAAUCACAGCUCACUCAGCUUCAACUUCCUGGGCUCAAGCAAUCCUCUCACCUCAGCCUCCCAAAAUCCUGGGAUUACAGAUAUGAGCCAGUACGCCCAGCCUGACAGAGCAUGACUUCUGAGGGUAGGUCAUAAAAGACAUUGUGACUUCCGGUUUGUUCUUUGAACACUUGUAUAAAGGAAGUCAGCUGCCAUGUCUCAAUGACACUCAAGUGGCCCUAUGGAGGGGCCUAAAACAGGCAUCGUCCUGCCAACAGCCGUCAAGGAACUGAGGGAACUGAGGCCCUUUGCUAACAGCCGUGAAGUGCACCAUCAUGGAAGUAGAUCUCCCGCCCCUGUCAAGCCUUCAGAUAACUGGCGCCCCAGCUGACUGCUCAACUGCAACCCUCUGUGAGAAACCCUCAGUUAGGACAACCCAGCUAAGUAUUCUCAAAUUCCACAGAAUCUGUGAAAUAAUAACGUGCUUUUGUUUUAAGCAACUAAGCUUUGUUUAAUUUGUUACACAGUAACAGACAACGAAUACAGCUGGCUUAUCAGGUAUGUAUAGUUUAAGGCUUUUCAUGUAGAUUGCAAAAUUGCCUUCCUGAAAUGUUAUGCCAAUUUACACC